GAAUUUUGGCGCACAAUUUCUUUUUCUUAGAAUACGAUUUGGGACCGAGUGUGUGAGAGUCGCCGAAGGCGAAGUGUAGAAGGAUGACGACGAUUCGCCGAUUCUGCUGCAACGAUCUUCUUCGUUUUGCUUCUGUUAACCUUGACCAUCUUACUGAAACUUUCAACAUGUCAUUCUAUAUGACUUAUCUGGCAAGAUGGCCGGACUAUUUCCAUGUCGCCGAAGCGCCCGGUAACCGAGUCAUGGGCUACAUUAUGGGAAAAGUUGAGGGUCAAGGGGAGUCCUGGCAUGGUCAUGUAACGGCAGUUACUGUUUCUCCAGAGUACCGUCGGCAGCAAUUGGCUAAGAAACUAAUGAAUCUGCUGGAAGACAUCAGUGAUAACAUUGAUAAAGCGUACUUUGUGGAUCUUUUUGUGAGGGCAUCAAACACACCAGCCAUCAAGAUGUAUGAAAAGCUUGGUUAUGUGAUCUAUAGACGAGUGCUUCGCUAUUACUCAGGAGAGGAAGAUGGAUUAGAUAUGAGGAAAGCAUUGUCACGGGAUGUUGAAAAGAAAUCUAUCAUCCCCCUUAAGCGGCCCAUCACUCCUGACGAAUUGGAGUAUGAUUAGUUUAGUUUUGCUCUGUAUGGAAUCUUGGAAUCUUUGCCAGCUGAAUUUGUUGAUGAUGUCUCAGUAUGUGUCAUCUGACUUUGAGGAGAUUUUGAAGAUCUAAGCCAGCAUUAUGGCAGAAGUUCCACAUGAUGUACAUGAAAUCAUCAAUCAUGUGUGUACAACUCAGUAGCUGGGAUAACUGGACUCAGCAGCUGGUAUCCCUUCGUCGCUGCUUUCUGAUCAUGUGGAUGUCGCUCUUAGAGAAUCCGCGAAAGGAAAGGACACUGUGAGGGAGAUUGGUCCUAGCUAUUUCUUUCAUACCAAGGAAGAGAAGAAGGGAUUCGCAGUUAAUGCAAAAGAAGAAGGAAGAGGAGGUUCCGUAAGGAAGGGCUUUUUUGGCUUGAGAAUUGGAUAAUGAUAAGGCGUUGUAUUCAAUUCCCAUUUAGAAAGACAUGCUUUCAUCUACGGCUAUAGACUCGGCUUCUUUCACAGAGGAUGCAGGGAUCUGUCCU